CCUACGGGUGGCAGCAGUGGGGAAUAUUGCACAAUGGAGGGAACUCUGAUGCAGCGACGCCGCGUGAGUGAAGAAGUAAUUCGUUAUGUAAAGCUCUAUCAGCAGGGAAGAAAGUGACGGUACCUGAAAAAGAAGCUCCGGCUAAAUACGUGCCAGCAGCCGCGGUAAUACGUAUGGAGCAAGCGUUAUCCGGAUUUACUGGGUGUAAAGGGAGCGUAGACGGCAGUGCAAGUCCGGAGUGAAAGCCCGGGGCUCAACCCUGGGACUGCUCUGGAAACGGUAAAGCUGGAGUGCGGGAGGGGCAGGCGGAAUUCCUGGUGUAGCGGUGAAAUGCGUAGAUAUCAGGAGGAACACCGGCGGCGAAGGCGGCCUGCUGGACCGUAACUGACGUUGAGGCUCGAAAGCGUGGGGAGCAAACAGGAUUAGAUACCCGAGUAGUC
rnacentral:rRNA from 1 species